rnacentral:rRNA from 1 species
GAUGAACGCUGGCGGUAUGCUUAACACAUGCAAGUCGAACGGACUCUUCGGAGUUAGUGGCGGACGGGUGAGUAACGCGUGAGAAUCUGGCUUUGGGUUCGGGACAACCACUGGAAACGGUGGCUAAUACCGGAUGUGCCGAGAGGUAAAAGAGAAAUUGCCUGAAGAUGAGCUCGCGUCUGAUUAGCUAGUUGGUGAGGUAAAGGCUCACCAAGGCAGCGAUCAGUAGCUGGUCUGAGAGGAUGACCAGCCACACUGGGACUGAGACACGGCCCAGACUCCUACGGGAGGCAGCAGUGGGGAAUUUUCCGCAAUGGGCGAAAGCCUGACGGAGCAAUACCGCGUGAGGGAAGAAGGCUCUUGGGUUGUAAACCUCUUUUCUUAGGGAAGAACAAAAUGACGGUACCUAAGGAAUCAGCAUCUGCUAACUCCGUG